GUGUGUGUGUGUGUGUGUGUGUGUGUGUGUGUGUGUGUGUCUGAGCUGGUGAAUCGCUGCCCUCUGGAGGCCGGUGGUCGUCACUGCACGUCAGCGUCACCAUGGUGACCCUCUCCGGUUGGAUGCUCAUGAAACAUUUUGUUCUACCUCAUUGUGUGUUAACCUGCCACUCAGACACAGGCCUCCCAAUCAGAUGCAGCAGUGUGCGGAGCGUGUUCGGUUUGAAAAUGAAGGAGGAGGAGGAGGAAAGCAGGUCUGCGCGCCCGUUUGAGGAAUUGUAACUGAAGAUCUCCAGCCCAUUUCAGCUCAGUCACGUCAUGCACAAACUCCACAAGCAGAACAAGAACACGUCACAAAGCUGCCGUCAGGUUUUUCAGAUCUCCUGUCAUAUAUCAAACAAACACCUCCCAGUUAUUUAAUUCAUUUUGAAUUCCCUGGAAAAAGUAAUUUUUCUUCUUUUUCUUUUUUCAAUGUAGUAAUCAUUUGAAGUGCAAUUGUUUAAUCCUCAUGUGCAUGGAGACAGAUUCCUCUCUGCUGUGAAAACGCCUGCGUCUGCGCUCAGUGCUCGCCCUCCUGCCGUAGUGCUCCCGGGCCAGGCUGACUGAUCUCGACACGUCAUGCUGCUCUGCAUGUUUAGUGCCCUGCAAAGCACUGCUGUCCCAGCAAGCCAAACCCAAGCCCCGUCCUCGUCUUUACCAGAUGUGCCAAUUCACAUCCUCUCCUUAAGGAAGUCUGUUUUGUUCUUUUUAAGGCUUGGGUGUCUUAAUUUGAAAUGCCUACUUUUUUUUCUUCUUCUUCUUCUUCAGUUUGCUGGUCUUAUUUCAAAGUGAAAGGACAAAAAGGGAUGUGAAGACAUGUGGCUCCAUGUGCCCUUAGAUGCAGCUUCAUCUUUUUCUUUGUUUUCUUUUUUUUUUCACCCAUCACAGGUGUGUGUUUUCACAGUAGCUUUUGCUGUUCACGUGGAAAAAGCAGUAUAUUAUGCGUCUUUGUAUCGUAGAUGUCCGCUGUUGUGUAGCACUUUGUAUGUCUUGCUCACGUGCUUGAUGAAUGAGUAAUGUAUACUUAAAAAAAAACAAAAAAACAAGUUCUGUGUGCAGUGAAAGUCCCACACACUCACGCUCCUGCUGUCUGAAACCCUCACAGCUGCUGCUCCUGGUUAAGAGUGAGUCCAGUGUGUGUGUGUGUGUGUGUGUGUGUGUAUGCUUUAGCCUUAAAACAUUUUCAGGCCAAGAAAACCAGUUUGGUUUUUUUUUAGCUUUUUCAGCCUCACGCGUUCCUCCUCCUCCUCCUCCUCCUCUUCCUCCUGCUGAACUGGACUUUUGGAGGAGAGGGAGACGAGGGGAGGGACGAAGCUACAGCUCACGUCCCACCCGGUCUGUCUGCCGUCGCCCCCGUGCUGUGUGACUCUCCUCGAGUCGUCUUCCCUUUCUUUUUCUUUUUCUUUUCUUUUUCUUCACACCGGUGACGUGUUCAUGUCAUCGACACGAGUGCCCCCGAUGGAGGCUACUGUAUGUUGACCUGGAGUAACAGAUUAACCCCUUCCCCAAAACCUCCCAGUGUGUGGUGUUAUUUGCAUGUGAUCAGGAGGGGAAAUGAACGCCAGGCGCUGACUGGAACUGAAAAUUUCACCCAGCAGUCCUGAAAAAAAACUUUAAUCUCGAGGUGGGACCUACUUCGGUUUGGUCCCAGUCACGGCGCCUGGUGAGGAAAGUUCAUCUCUCGUCCUGCAUGUGACAACUGUGGGCGUUGUUUCCAUACAGUAUAAUGCACUUUAAUCCAUCCACCUCUCUCAAGAUAGAUAUUGAAAUGACAUAUAUAGAUGUGCAAAUGUGUAUACACUCAAGCAGGGUUUUAGUCUCUUUAAAGUAGUACAGUAUCCAACACAAUGCUAUUUUUGUUAAAGUCUAAGGGUACAGCUAUUUAUUUUUUCUGUUCAAAA